rnacentral:tRNA from 1 species
GCGCCCGUAGCUCAGCUGGAUAGAGUGUUGGCCUCCGAAGCCAAAGGUCGCUGGUUCGAUUCCAGUCGGGCGCACCA